GCCAGUGUGGCUUAAUGGUUUGAAUGUUGGACUAUGACUCUGGAGAACAGGGUUUGCUUCCCUGCUUGGCCA